GCCGUAAGACAGGUGCUGCAUGGCUGUCGUCAGCUCGUGUCGUGAGAUGUUGGUUAAGUCCCGCAACGAGCGCAACCCCUAUCCUCAGUUGCCAUCAUUAAGUUGGGCACUCUGUGGAGACUGCCGGUGUCAAACCGGAGGAAGGUGGGGAUGACGUCAAGUCCUCAUGGCCCUUAUGACCAGGGCUACACACGUGCUACAAUGGCCGGUACAAAGAGUUGCGAUACCGCGAGGUGGAGCUAAUCUCAUAAAGCCGGUCUCAGUUCGGAUUGGAGUCUGCAACUCGACUCCAUGAAGUUGGAAUCGCUAGUAAUCGCGGAUCAGCACGCCGCGGUGAAUACGUUCCCGGGCCUU
rnacentral:rRNA from 1 species